AUUGAACGCUGGCGGCAGGCCUAACACAUGCAAGUCGAGCGGGGUUUUCGGACCUAGCGGCGGACGGGUGAGUAAUGCGUAGGAAGCUGCCCGAUAGAGGGGGAUACCAGUUGGAAACGACUGUUAAUACCGCAUAAUGUCUACGGACCAAAGUGUGGGACCUUCGGGCCACAUGCUAUCGGAUGCGCCUACGUGGGAUUAGCUAGUUGGUGAGGUAAUGGCUCACCAAGGCGACGAUCUCUAGCUGGUUUGAGAGGAUGAUCAGCCACACUGGAACUGAGACACGGUCCAGACUCCUACGGGAGGCAGCAGUGGGGAAUAUUGGACAAUGGGCGCAAGCCUGAUCCAGCCAUGCCGCGUGUGUGAAGAAGGCCUUCGGGUUGUAAAGCACUUUCAGCGAGGAGGAAGGGUGGUGUGUUAAUAGCACAUCAUUUUGACGUUACUCGCAGAAGAAGCACCGGCUAACUCUGUGCCAGCCGCCGCGGUAA
rnacentral:rRNA from 1 species